rnacentral:rRNA from 1 species
AUUGAACGCUGGCGGCAUGCCUUACACAUGCAAGUCGAACGGUAACAGGUCUUCGGAUGCUGACGAGUGGCGAACGGGUGAGUAAUACAUCGGAACGUGCCCGAUCGUGGGGGAUAACGGAGCGAAAGCUUUGCUAAUACCGCAUACGAUCUACGGAUGAAAGCAGGGGACCGCAAGGCCUUGCGCGGACGGAGCGGCCGAUGGCAGAUUAGGUAGUUGGUGGGAUAAAAGCUUACCAAGCCGACGAUCUGUAGCUGGUCUGAGAGGACGACCAGCCACACUGGGACUGAGACACGGCCCAGACUCCUACGGGAGGCAGCAGUGGGGAAUUUUGGACAAUGGGCGAAAGCCUGAUCCAGCCAUGCCGCGUGCAGGAUGAAGGCCUUCGGGUUGUAAACUGCUUUUGUACGGGACGAAAAGACUCUUUCUAAUAAAGAGGGUCCAUGACGGUACCGUAAGAAUAAGCACCGGCUAACUACGUG